GCUGGGCAUGGUGCCACAUGCCUGUAAUUCCAUCUACUCACGAGGCUGAGGCAGGAGGAUUGCAAAUUUGAGGUCAGCCCUGGGCACCUUAGUGAGACCCUGUCUCAA
rnacentral:sRNA from 1 species